rnacentral:rRNA from 1 species
GCAGUAAAUGUGGAGCCGUAGCGAAAGCGAGUCUGAAUAGGGCGUUUAGUAUUUGGUCGUAGACCCGAAACCAGGUGAUCUACCCUUGGUCAGGUUGAAGUUCAGGUAACACUGAAUGGAGGACCGAACCGACUUACGUUGAAAAGUGAGCGGAUGAACUGAGGGUAGCGGAGAAAUUCCAAUCGAACCUGGAGAUAGCUGGUUCUCUCCGAAAUAGCUUUAGGGCUAGCCUCAAGUGGUGAUUAUUGGAGGUAGAGCACUGUUUGGACGAGGGGCCCCUCUCGGGUUACCGAAUUCAGACAAACUCCGAAUGCCAAUUAAUUUAACUUGGGAGUCAGAACAUGGGUGAUAAGGUCCGUGUUCGAAAGGGAAACAGCCCAGACCACCAGCUAAGGUCCCAAAAUAUAUGUUAAGUGGAAAAGGAUGUGGCGUUGCCCAGACAACUAGGAUGUUGGCUUAGAAGCAGCCAUCAUUUAA